rnacentral:rRNA from 1 species
UACGGGGGGGGCAAGCGUUGUCCGGAAUCAUUGGGCGUAAAGCGCGCGUAGGUGGCCCCGUAAGUCCGCUGUGAAAGUCAAAGGCUCAACCUUUGAAAGCCGGUGGAUACUGUGGGACUAGAGUACGGAAGAGGCGAGUGGAAUUCCUGGUGUAGCGGUGGAAUGCGCAGAUAUCAGGAGGAACACCAAUAGCGAAGGCAGCUCGCUGGGACGUUACUGACACUGAGGCGCGAAAGCGUGGGGAGCGAACAGG